rnacentral:rRNA from 1 species
CGCGGCCUAUCAGCUUGUUGGUGAGGUAACGGCUCACCAAGGCAACGACGGGUAGCUGGUCUGAGAGGACGAUCAGCCACACUGGGACUGAGACACGGCCCAGACUCCUACGGGAGGCAGCAGUAGGGAAUAUUGCGCAAUGGACGAAAGUCUGACGCAGCAACGCCGCGUGAGGGAUGAAGUACAUCGAGAUGUAAACCUCUUUCAGCAGGGACGAAGCUAACGUGACGGUACCUGCAGAAGAAGCACCGGCUAACUACGUGCCAGCAGCCGCGGUAAUACGUAGGGUGCAAGCGUUGUCCGGAUUUAUUGGGCGUAAAGGGCUCGUAGGCGGUCUGUCGCGUCGGAUGUGAAAACUCGGAGCUUAACUCCGGGCCUGCAUUCGAUACGGGCAGACUAGAGUUCGGUAGGGGAGACUGGAAUUUCUGGUGUAGCGGUGGAAUGCGCAGAUAUCAGGAAGAACACCGAUGGCGAAGGCAGGUCUCUGGGCCGACACUGACGCUGAGGAGCGAAAGCAUGGGGAGCGAACAGGAUUAGAUACCCCGGUAGUCCAUGCCGUAAACGGUGGGCGCUAGGUGUGGGGAAUAAUCUACAUUCUCCGCGCCGCAGCUAACGCAUUAAGCGCCCCGCCUGGGGAGUACGG